UUCCAAUGAUGAGCCUGCCAUGCUAAUACUGAUGCACCAGUGUUUGUCUGGGUGUACGUGAGUUAACUUGACUUCUCACACUUGCAGUGUGCUCUGAGGAAA